UGUGGAUUCUCUGUAAACAUCUUGGGCGUAUUUGACAGAGAUAGUCCUGAGUUCGCCGGCUGGCGGGUUUUAGAACAGGGGACGAAAAACAAUCAGUUAGAGCUGGGACCCUUUCUCAAAGGUUGACCUCUUCCUGAGUUAGAGUUUACAAUAGAGGAAAAGCAUGUAGGACCACUAUCACUGAUGCUGCGGACGCGGGUUCGACUCCCGCCGCCUCCACCA
rnacentral:tmRNA from 1 species